rfam:Oryza glaberrima chromosome 9 Oglab09_0182_4, whole genome shotgun sequence.
UAUAAGGGAUUUUGAGUUUUUUGCUUGUAACAUUUGACCACUCGUCUUAUUUAAAAUUUUAUGAAAUUAUUAUUUAUUUUAUUUGUGACUUACUUUAUUAUCUACAUUACUUUAAGCAUAACUUUUCGUUUUUUAUAUUUGAAAAAAAAUUUAAAUAAGACGAGUGGUCAAAUGUUACAAGCAAAAACUUAAA